AACAAGUUCUCGUCUUUAUUAUAAAUCUAACCGGUUAAACACUGCAUGUACAGUCUGUACAUUCUUAUACAUCUACAAUUACAUCAACUCGCCUAAAUCGACUUAUUAAAUUCCUUCAAAUUACGAGCUGAAAAUUCCGCCUCUGCCAUAGUUAAAGCUAUCUUCAAUCCUCUUCCAAGCUAUCUUCAAAAGUACAUCUUUUUCUCUACCUCAAUUUGUAGUCAAUAUGAUUCUUUGGUUGUAAUAUAUAUUGUGUAUUGUACACCACGGGUUCUUUUUGGAUAUAUUUGUUUUACGGACAUUCAUCAAGAUAUAUAUGUUUCUUUAAUUAUGGUCGUUUAUAGGAAUCAAGCAUACGAAGCUACACUUGUGAAGCACCAAAGCCAGGCGCGUUUAAACACGUCCGUAAUUCGUAACCUCAUAGUUGUCCUUUUUAACAUUGUCCAAAUUAUCUCCGACGAUUCUCAAUAUUUGUCCUACAAUUGUACAUGUUAACGUAGUUUGUUGUGUGGUUUCUGACCCAUUCCGUUGAACGGUGGUUUCCGUACUCGAAUACUGUCGUUGUAAAAUAAUCCGUUCGACUUCUCCACCUGUGAUGGCCACAGAUUGUGGCCUGUUUCUUCUUACAGCUCUGGGAUUAUUAGACUGUUCUGAUUUAUCGUUUGUUUUCUGCCAACCCAUCUGAAAGGCUCGACGCUUUUGCUGUUGUGUGUGUUCGAAGCAAACUGUUCACUCUAUAAGCGCUUGUUUCUUUCACGUAUCGAAACUAUGUGAGGACACUUGUUUUUGUCUA